ACACACACAAUCCAAGGCGGCCUCAGUGUUGACCGCACCAAAGUUCCCGGCCUUGGGAGCGAGAGGAACGUGGGAGCCAGUUUGAGUUACGUGUAUAAGCCCAACAGACAGACCUCCUUCACCGCCGGUGUUCAACACUCCCGGGGUGGAGGCGGCAGGUCCAACAGUUUUGGACUUGGUUUCAGUCACACGUUCGACCGGAAGAGGAGAGCCACAGAGAACUUGUAAAUAACGUCUUGUGAAGAAGUGAAAGUUGUGUUCUUAAGAUGCCAGCGUUCCUCUCCAGUAUCACUAGAGGACCUCCAGAGACCCGUGUCUAACUAGUCCUGUCAACGCCUCUUAUAGAGCGUCUUUGUCCGAAGCCACAACUGGUUAGGUUAGUUAGCGAUGAAGUUUAAUACAAGUUUGAAUCCUACUGUACAAAAUUAAUUUUGAUUUGUUGUACUAAGCCAUUAUGAACUUCAAUUUUAUUAUGCUUUAGAUAUUGAUAUUUACAUGUAUUAUAUUUCUGUUGAAUAAAGUUUAUCAAUGAA